UACAGAGGUCCCGAGCGUUGUUCGGAUUCAUUGGGCGUAAAGGGUGCGUAGGUGGCGUCGUAAGUCAGGUGUGAAAUUUCGGAGCUUAACUUCGAAACUGCAUUUGAUACUGCGGUGCUUGAGGACUGGAGAGGAGACUGGAAUUUACGGUGUAGCAGUGAAAUGCGUAGAGAUCGUAAGGAAGACCAGUGGCGAAGGCGGGUCUCUGGACAGUUCCUGACACUGAGGCACGAAGGCCAGGGGAGCAAACGGG
rnacentral:rRNA from 1 species